rnacentral:rRNA from 1 species
AGAGUUUGAUCCUGGCUCAGAUUGAACGCUAGCGGCAUGCUUUACACAUGCAAGUCGAACGGCAGCGCGGGGGCAACCCUGGCGGCGAGUGGCGAACGGGUGAGUAAUGCAUCGGAACAUGCCCAUCGAUGGGGGAUAACUGCGCGAAAGCGUUGCUAAUACCGCAUAAGACCUGAGGGUGAAAGCAGGGGACCGCAAGGCCUUGCGUCGAUGGAGUGGCCGAUGUCGGAUUAGCUAGUUGGUGGGGUAAAGGCCUACCAAGGCGACGAUCCGUAGCUGGUCUGAGAGGACGACCAGCCACACUGGGACUGAGACACGGCCCAGACUCCUACGGGAGGCAGCAGUGGGGAAUCUUGGAUAAUGGGGGCAACCCUGAUCCAGCAAUGCCGCGUGCGGGAAGAAGGCCUUCGGGUUGUAAACCGCUUUUGGCAGGGAAGAAAUUGUCCGUGCUAAUACCAUGGAUAGAUGACGGUACCUGCAGAAUAAGCACCGGCUAACUACGUGCCAGCCGCCGCGGU